rnacentral:rRNA from 1 species
UACGUAGGGCGCAAGCGUUAUCCGGAAUUAUUGGGCGUAAAGAGCUCGUAGGCGGUUUGUCGCGUCUGCCGUGAAAGGCCGGGGCUCAACUCCGGAUCUGCAGUGGGUACGGGCAGACUAGAGUGCGGUAGGGGUGACUGGAAUUCCUGGUGUAGCGGUGGAAUGCGCAGAUAUCAGGAGGAACACCGAUGGCGAAGGCAGGUCACUGGGCCGCAACUGACGCUGAGGAGCGAAAGCAUGGGGAGCGAACAGG